CCUACAUAUAAUUUCAGACACCCACACUGUACCACAUAGAUGACUUGCACUGUAUUACAAUUGGAAAAAUGAUACAGUGUAUAUUUUUUCUGAUCAAUUGGGUUGAUGAAAUUCUGGAUCUUAAAGGUAUAUUUACAAAAAACACAAUGUCCACAGGGAUGAUGUCCAACUGGUGGACAUGUACCAGGCAAAAGAGUGCAAUCCCUUUUGAUUCUCAGGAAUUGUCCAUGUGGUAAAUUACGUCUAAGUUGUAAAGGAUGGGAACUAUCAAAACAUAGCCCCUGAUGAAAGCCUAUGUUUGGCUGAAACGCGUUGGGCAGCUUAAUAAGG